GCCGAAAUAGCUCAGUUGGUAGAGCAAGCGACUGAAAAUCGCUGAGUCGGCGGUUCGAAUCCGUCUUUCGGCACCA
rnacentral:tRNA from 1 species